rnacentral:lncRNA from 1 species
UUUAAUUCCCUUUGUACAUUGAAUCAAUCAAUGUAGUGCACAUAAUACAUUCUCUUCUAUUCUCGACAUUCUUUUCGCUUCUACUUUGGUUUCUAACAUGGUAUCAGAGUGAGCGUUCUUUUUCAUUCUUUUUCUUCUGACUUCCGCACCCUUUGAUUGCCUUACAGACGUUUCUUACCUUCGUUGUUGUAGGAACACUAAACCUGCAAAAAAAGGUUAGCACUCCGGUGUAGAAAUCAAUAUCAAAGCACUUCAAAAAUAAAAAUAAAAAACAAUUUCUUCUUACUGUUUUCUUUCUUACCGACACCAUGGCUAAGGAGGAUUCAUCGACUUCUGAAGGAAGAACCCCAGAGGAGUCAACUAUGUAGCUAGAACACGUCGUGGACCAGGAGCAAAGAGUCCAGGCCUAGCCGAACCAGGG